rnacentral:rRNA from 1 species
CAGCAGCCGCGGGAAUACGUAGGGUGCAAGCGUUAAUCGGAAUUACUGGGCGUAAAGCGUGCGCAGGCGGUUAUAUAAGACAGAUGUGAAAUCCCCGGGCUCAACCUGGGAACUGCAUUUGUGACUGUAUAGCUAGAGUACGGCAGAGGGGGAUGGAAUUCCGCGUGUAGCAGUGAAAUGCGUAGAUAUGCGGAGGAACACCGAUGGCGAAGGCAAUCCCCUGGGCCUGUACUGACGCCCAUGCACGAAAGCGUGGGGAGCAAACAGGAUUAGAUACCCCAGUAGUCCCUGUCUCUUAUAC